AACGCACAUUGCGCCCUGUGGUAUUCCGCAGGGCAUGCCUGUUCGAGCGUCAUUAUAACCAAUCAUGCCUGGCAUGGUGUUGGGGCACGCGGUCUCGCGGCCCUCAAAAACAGUGGCGGCGCCGGUAGGCUCUAAGCGUAGUAAUUUCUCUCGCUACAGGGUCCUGACGGUUGCUCGCCAGAACCCCCACUUCUUAAGGUUGACCUCGGAUCAGGUAGGGAUACCCGCUGAACUUAA
rnacentral:misc_RNA from 1 species